AUAUUCUUGUUGCCUGGGUGUUGCAAUGCCUGGAAGACCUGGAAAUAAGGCAACCUCCCUUUCCUGUGCUUUAUUGAAAAUGGGAUUGGACUUUAAUAACACAGCAACAACAACAGCUUCAGCCUAUCUCAACUAACUUCACUUUUUCCCAAAAGGACAGUUAUUGCCACCUAAGAGACUGUCAAACACGGGCUUUAUUCCGGGU